CUUGCACCUGAUGGCGAGUGGCGAACGGGUGAGUAAUGCAUCGGAACGUGCCCAGUCGUGGGGGAUAACGCAGCGAAAGUUGUGCUAAUACCGCAUACGAUCUAUGGAUGAAAGCGGGGGACCUUCGGGCCUCGCGCGAUUGGAGCGGCCGAUGUUAGAUUAGGUAGUUGGUGGGGUAAAGGCUCACCAAGCCAACGAUCUAUAGCUGGUCUGAGAGGACGACCAGCCACACUGGAACUGAGACACGGUCCAGACUCCUACGGGAGGCAGCAGUGGGGAAUUUUGGACAAUGGGCGAAAGCCUGAUCCAGCAAUACCGCGUGCAGGAAGAAGGCCCUCGGGUUGUAAACUGCUUUUGUACGGAACGAAACGGCGCGCUCUAAUAAAGUGCGCUAAUGACGGUACCGUAAGAAUAAGCACCGGCUAACUACGUGCCAGCAGCCGCGGUAAUACGUAGGGUGCGAGCGUUAAUCGGAAUUACUGGGCGUAAAGCGUGCGCAGGCGGUUUUGUAAGACAGGCGUGAAAUCCCCGGGCUCAACCUGGGAAUUGCGCUUGUGACUGCAAGGCUAGAGUACGGUAGAGGGGGGUAGAAUUCCGCGUGUAGCAGUGAAAUGCGUAGAUAUGCGGAGGAACACCGAUGGCGAAGGCAGCCCCCUGGACCUGUACUGACGCUCAUGCACGAAAGCGUGGGGAGCAAACAGGAUUAGAUACCCUGGUAGUCCACGCCCUAAACGAUGUCAACUGGUUGUUGGGAAUUUACUUUCUCAGUA
rnacentral:rRNA from 1 species